UUCCAUGAAGGGUCAUAAAAACGAGGCCCAAUUUUGAAAACUUCGAAAGUACAAUCAAAAUAAUGAAAAUGUCUACAUCCCAGUUUAGCAACGAAGGCAAGACCAGCCAAAUAAGUUUCUACACAUACAACACCAAGAGACCUCAUGUUUGAAGACAUACUAUGUGUCUACAAGAUUAUCUUAUUGUGCUGAAACCAUAGACUGAAAGUCUGAAACAUCGAAGGCUGGUUGAUAGUUCUUAUGAAAACUUUUGGACCGGAUCGACAUGGUGAUCUAAGUUUUCGGAAUUUUGUUUUUGGGAUCAGUUUACCUGUGUUUUUCGGAUAUUUUUGAGUAAGUUUACUCUUUAAACUAGCACAUAACUGUAUCUCGAUUUCUUUUGGGUUGGAGACUCAAAGUUCGAGACUCACAACUGUAGCACAUGUAACUUGUUUAUGGAAGUAUAACAAUAUUAAAUUUAAAACAAACAAAAAUCAUAAUCUUUUUAGUAAACUAAAAAUUGUCG